rnacentral:rRNA from 1 species
GUCAGAGGGGGCAAGCGUUGCUCGGAAUUACUGGGCGUAAAGGGCGCGUAGGCGGGCUGGCAAGUCGGUCGUGAAAUCCCUCGGCUCAACUGAGGAUCGUCGAUCGAUACUGCCGUUCUUGAGGAUUGCAGAGGAGACUGGAAUUCCCGGUGUAGCGGUGAAAUGUGUAGAGAUCGGGAGGAACACCGGUGGCGAAGGCGGCUACCUGGACCGGUUCUGACGCUGAUGCGCGAAAGCGUGGGUAGCAAACAGG